rnacentral:rRNA from 1 species
UACAGAGGGUGCAAGCGUUGUCCGGAAUUAUUGGGCGUAAAGAGCUCGUAGGCGGCUUGUCGCGUCGGCUGUGAAAACCUGGGGCUCAACCCCGGGCCUGCAGCCGAUACGGGCAAGCUAGAAUUCGGUAGGGGAGACUGGAAUUCCUGGUGUAGCGGUGAAAUGCGCAGAUAUCAGGAAGAACACCCGUGGCGAAGGCGGCUCUCUGGGACGGUACUGACGCUGAGACGCGAAAGCGUGGGGAGCGAACAGG